rnacentral:lncRNA from 1 species
GAUGGGAAGGGCAGAGGGACUUCUUUUCUCAAGACUGUCCAUCUGCCUUGCACUCAGAGGCUAAUCAAGGCAUUUGAGAAGCAGAAGAAGAAGAGGUAGAGAGAGAGCCAGGGACACAGCACAACCAGCAAAUGAAACCUUGCACACACAUCACAGAGUAAAGAGGAAGAGUGUGCAUUUGACUCCUAGGAGGGGCUUGGUUAGAAGGAGUCCAUCAGCAAGAAGCACUGCUCUCAAAUGCUUCCUGAUGGAAAGUAAAUCUGGGAAAACACCAGGGCCAGAAAUUGGCAGGGAAGACUUGGACAGAAGAAGAAUUUGGAGAGAAAGGUAAAGGUUUCAUAAAUUUCACAUACAACCAUAUUUUGUUUUUCUGGAUCUGAUUUUCCUUAUAGCUUCUUCCUGUUUUUCAGGCACAGGUAGCCUUUUUUGCCUGGAAAGGACAACUACUGUGUUUUGCCCAGGUAGCUCUCUGUUCCAUAAGAUUUCCAUAUUAAAGAGGUUGAUUUAGUCUGGUCAGUUUGGUGUGAUUUUCUGUGUAGAUGGUUCCUUUUCUUCUCACAAGCAGAAGUGACGGCUUAACUGUCCUCAAAGCUCAA